UCGAGAAUCUUGGGCAAUGCGCGAAAGCGUGACCCAGCAAUGCCGCGUGCACGAUGAAGGUCUUCGGAUUGUAAAGUGCUGUCACUCGGGACGAACAAAUGACGGUACCGAGGGAGGAAGCCCCGGCUAACUACGUGCCAGCAGCCGCGGUAAUACGUAGGGGGCGAGCGUUGUUCGGAUUUAUUGGGCGUAAAGGGUCUGUAGGAGGUUUAUUAAAAUUGGGGUGAAAUCCCGGAGCUCAACUCCGGAACUGCCUUGAUGACUGAUAGACUAGAGGACUGGAGAGGUAAGCGGAAUUUCAGGUGUAGCGGUGGAAUGCGUAGAUAUCUGAAAGAACACCGAUAGCGUAGGCAGCUUACUGGACAGUUUCUGACUCUGAAAGACGAAAGCGUGGGGAGCAAACA
rnacentral:rRNA from 1 species